rnacentral:rRNA from 1 species
GACGAACGCUGGCGGCGUGCUUAACACAUGCAAGUCGAACGGAAAGGCCCUGCUUGCUGGGUGCUCGAGUGGCGAACGGGUGAGUAACACUUGGGUGAUCUGCCCCUUAUUUUGGGAUAAGCCUGGGAAACUGGGUCUAAUACUGGAUAGGACCAUGCUGUAGGUGGUGUGGUGGAAAGAUUAGUUUCGGUAAGGGUUGAGUUCGCGGCCUAUCAGCUUGUUGGUGGGGUAAUGGCCUACCAAGCCGUCGACGGGUAGCCGGCCUGAGAGGGUGGACGGCAACAGUGAGACUGAGACACGGCCCAGGCUCCGACGGGAGGGAGAAGUGGGGAAGAUUGAAAAAGGGGAGCAAGCCUGAGGCAGCGACGCCGCGGGGGGGAGGGCGGCCUUCGGGUUGUGAACGCCUUUAAGCCAUGACGAAGCCCUUGUGGUGACGGUAGUGAUAGAAGAAGCACGCGAAAACUAUG